AGGCUGAUAGGUUAAUUUAAACUGUGGGGUUCAUGUCCCCUUAAUAUGUGUUACACAUUUGGCUGA
rnacentral:tRNA from 1 species